GACGUAGGGCGCGAGCGUUGUUCGGAUUUACUGGGCGUAAAGGGCGCGUAGGCGGCAAUUCAAGUCAGCUGUGAAAUCUCCGGGCUUAACUCGGAACGGUCAGCUGAUACUGCUUUGCUAGAGUGCAGAAGGGGCAAUCGGAAUUCUUGGUGUAGCGGUGAAAUGCGUAGAUAUCAAGAGGAACACCUGAGGUGAAGACGGGUUGCUGGGCUGACACUGACGCUGAGGCGCGAAAGCUAGGGUAGCAAACGGG
rnacentral:rRNA from 1 species